GGGUAACUAGCUGUUAAUUAGUUGAUUGCGGGAUCGAGGCCCGUCUAUCUAG
rnacentral:tRNA from 1 species